rnacentral:ncRNA from 1 species
GACUCUGGAGAAUCCGCGGCGGGGCAGGAAGCUUCCCUUGCCGGGUGCCGAAGGGGCAAAAGCCUUGGGGAUGCAGACUGCACUCCUGGGCCGAAUCUCUCAGGCAAAAGGACAGAGGAGA